rnacentral:tRNA from 1 species
GCCGGGGUGGCGAAAUGGUAGACGCAGCGGAUUCAAAAUCCGCCGGUGGCAACACCGUGGGGGUUCAAGUCCCCCCUCCGGCACCA